GAUGAACGCUAGCGGCAGGCUUAAUACAUGCAAGUCGUGGGGCAGCGCAGGUAGCAAUACUGGGCGGCGACCGGCAAACGGGUGCGGAACACGUACACAACCUUCCGAGAAGUGGGGAAUAGCCCAGAGAAAUUUGGAUUAAUACCCCGUAACAUAACGAUGUGGCAUCACAUUGUUAUUAUAGCUUCGGCGCUUCUUGAUGGGUGUGCGGCUGAUUAGAUAGUUGGCGGGGUAACGGCCCACCAAGUCUACGAUCAGUAGCUGAUGUGAGAGCAUGAUCAGCCACACGGGCACUGAGACACGGGCCCGACUCCUACGGGAGGCAGCAGUAAGGAAUAUUGGUCAAUGGACGCAAGUCUGAACCAGCCAUGCCGCGUGAAGGAUUAAGGUCCUCUGGAUUGUAAACUUCUUUUAUCUGGGACGAAAAAAGGCGAUUCUUCGUCACUUGACGGUACCAGAUGAAUAAGCACCGGCUAACUCCGUGCCAGCAGCCG
rnacentral:rRNA from 1 species